ensembl:lncRNA
AGCUUACUGCAAACACAAGUACUGUAUACCUAAGAAAUAUGGAAGUUUGACAUCGUGCAAUAUUAAAACCUGUAUUUUCUCAUACACAUAAAAUAUCUGUGGGAUUAUAGUAUUGACCAGACUUCUGGAGCCAUUCUCCUUUUGAUGUUUAAUAUUCAGUUUCUUUUUCCUGCACCAGCUGGAUGAUUUGGAAAAGCCUGCAGAGCUGUCAUCUCUCCUGUAUUUUAUUUCAAUGCAGAACAAUUCACUCCUGAGUCUUUCAACCAAAUAUGCCAAGCAGCAUACAAAAGCCAAAUGAAACUCAUGUUUCUAAUAGUUAUCACUGUAUCCUGGGACAUUGAGAGAUAACACUAGAAAAUCAUUCAUGAGCAACAGAGAGAAUAAAACAUAUUGCUACUGAUGGUAGAAUAGACAAAGAGAUAAUUGUAGCAUGGGAUGUACGUACAUUGUACAUGGUUUGUACUUUAAAUCUCAAAAUCUGAAGAAAACAAACAAAGGUUAUUGCUCCACCACCUUUGCUUAUUAUUGUAAUUGUCUAUAUUGUAUUCCCUCUAUCUACCCUUUUGAAUACCUUCAUGACAAUUUGACAGGUGCUCUUGGCACAUCUUUAAUGACAUAGAAAUACAUGCAAAUUCACAGGGGUGUAGCCAUAUAGUGUUUCAAUGAUGCAGAACUGGAAGAACUGACCUCCAAAGAAAGAUGAAGUUUUCAGGAGCCACUGCAGCAGCACUCCACCUGUGAUCUCCGUCACCAGAGACUGGUUUGUCCACAAAGUACCACUGCUGCAGGAUGAAAGCAAGAAAAAUCUCUGCAUUUGUGCAAAAGCUGUGUUUGUGGAAAAAGAAAGGAAAGGGAAAAGGAAAGAGGAAAAAGGUUAGCUCCAAUGACAAGCAGGGAAGCAGAUUCUGCUUUCCCUUAGUACGUUGUGGUAGCCUGAUACUAACCUUCACAGGUAGGAGACAAGACAGGGCUAAAGACCUGGAGGAGAAAGUUAGUACAGGUAAUUCAUGCCUCUUGGUAGCAGUUUUCUUGCAAUGCUUUGACUAGAGUUCACCACCAAAACCUCUAUUUUUAGUUACACAUUCUGCAGUCAAUUUCUUUGUACAAUAACUGAAAAUAAAGAAAUUGCAUGGACACCACAGGAAAAUGAAGACACAAAGGCAAACAAAGAAUUAUCUGCCUGAGGGAAGGAGAAGUAUUCUAAAGUUCAAAAUGUGUUACAACGUUAAUCAUCUGAUCAAUACCAGUAAUCUCAGUGCAGAAAAAUACAUGGGAUUUGGUUUUUAAGUAGGUACAUGCAUUUUGGGGAAGUUCAUCUUCCCUAUAUUUUGUCUGUGAAGGAUGAGUUCAUCCUCCUAUACACCAGUAAGUACCAAAAUGAUAGUGAGACUUUCUACAUGAGAAAAAAGAAUUUCCCAUAGGCAGAAAGGAUGAGGAAUUCCAAACUUUUUAUUAUACCACCCAUUUCAGAAGUGCAUACCAAAGUAAAAACAUAGCAAAAAAAUGCGUAUGAGUUUGUGGUAACACACUAUUUGUACAGCAGCCCUCAGGCACAGCUGUAACUCAUGUAGAUUCCUAAGGACUUUUGAUUUAAAUUCUGUGUUUUUCUAAAAGUGCUCUGUUGAGACAACAAAAUGACUGUAAGCCAAAACCCACACUUUCGUUUCUAUCUACCCUCAGCUGCUAUUAUGCUGCAUUUAGAAAUACACAGGUAGGACAAUUACAGUACUUUGUUGCUAUAUUACUCUGAAAUUAAAUUUGAAAAUGAUGUUUCUUUAAAACUACAGAAAGACAUAAAUAUACCUUAACUUUUUUCUUUUUCUUUUUUUUUUUUUUUUCCCAAGUUACACCUAAUAAACAUUGGCAGCAUGAAAACAACAGCUUUGAGCAAUUAGGGG